rfam:Candidatus Nanopusillus sp. Nst1 Nst1_C6, whole genome shotgun sequence.
GGACCCGUAGUUCAGCAUGGAUAGAAUUCUCGGUUGCGGUCCGAGAGGUCCGGGGUUCGAAUCCCCGCGGGUCCA